rnacentral:rRNA from 1 species
UGCGUAGGCGGGCUAAUAAGUCAGUGGUGAAAUCUUUCGGCUCAACCGAGAAACUGCCAUUGAUACUGUUAGUCUUGAGUUCGGUUGAGGUAGGCGGAAUGUGUAAUGUAGCGGUGAAAUGCUUAGAUAUUACACAGAACACCAAUUGCGUAGGCAGCUUACUAGACCGACACUGACGCUGAGGAACGAAAGCGUGGGGAGCGAACAGGAUUAGAUACCCUGGUAGUCC